AUUUACCUUUGUACAUUUACAUCUUUUUCAUCAUUUCUUUCUUAACAUCACAUAAUCAUCAAAAUAGAAGCUCUUUACAAUCAUUCAACAUCUAUACUAUUUCAUCUUCAAAGACAAAAGAAGAUAUAUAUCCAUAAGGGUAUGCAACUAUGUAAGUAAUAAAACCGACUCGGGCGGUCUCUGUCUACAGCGCGAUACCCUUACCGCGAUGGUCCGCCGGCUCACUUUGUCCCGACUCUGUGGAAAUAGUGGGGU
rnacentral:lncRNA from 1 species